GAUGAACGCUGGCGGCGUGCCUAAUACAUGCGAGUCGAGCGAACAGACGAGGAGCUUGUUCCUCUGACGUUAGCGGCGGACGGGUGAGUAACACGUGGAUAACCUACCUAUAAGACUGGGAUAACUUCGGGAAACCGGAGCUAAUACCGGAUAAUAUAUUGAACCGCAUGGUUCAAUAGUGAAAGACGGUUUUGCUGUCACUUAUAGAUGGAUCCGCGCCGCAUUAGCUAGUUGGUAAGGUAACGGCUUACCAAGGCGACGAUGCGUAGCCGACCUGAGAGGGUGAUCGGCCACACUGGAACUGAGACACGGUCCAGACUCCUACGGGAGGCAGCAGUAGGGAAUCUUCCGCAAUGGGCGAAAGCCUGACGGAGCAACGCCGCGUGAGUGAUGAAGGUCUUCGGAUCGUAAAACUCUGUUAUUAGGGAAGAACAAAUGUGUAAGUAACUAUGCACGUCUUGACGGUACCUAAUCAGAAGGCCACGGCUAACUACGUG
rnacentral:rRNA from 1 species